GGAUGUGAGGGCGAUCUGGCUGCGACAUCUGUCACCCCAUUGAUCGCCAGGGUUGAUUCGGCUGACCUGGCUGGCUAGGCGGGUGUCCCCUUCCUCCCUCACCGCUCCAUGUGCGUCCCUCCCGAAGCUGCGCGCUCGGUCGAAGAGGACGACCAUCCCCGCUAGAGGAGGACCGGUCUUCGGUCAAGGGUAUAGGAGUAGCUGCGCUCCCCUGCUAGAACCUCCAAACAAGCUCUCAAUGGGGGUUCUUAGCAUACACAUGCAAAACAGUGUAGCACAGGGAGAUGUUCCUUCUGC
rnacentral:snRNA from 1 species